AACGAACGCUGGCGGCAUGCCUAACACAUGCAAGUCGAACGAAAACUCCCGGUUUUGGUGCGCACGUCGACGUAAGACGUGGGAACCUACACUUAGGUUAGGUGUAACUCACUGAAGGGUAUCCUAAUACAGCAUAAUCUCUUCGCACCAAAGAUCUAUCGCGUCUGGAUGGGCGCGCGUUGGAUUCGCCAGUUGGUAGGGUAAAAGCAUACCAAGGCGACGAUCCUGAGCUGGUCGGGGAGGAUGACCAGCAAGACUGGGACUGAGACACGGCCCAGACUCGUACGGGAGGCAGCAGUGGGGAAUAUUGGACGAUGGGCGAAAGCCUGAUCCAGCAGUGCCGCGUGAGUGAUGAAGGCCGUAGGGUUGUAAAGCUCUCUUACCCGGGAUGAUAAUGACAGUACCGGGAGAAUAAGCUCCGGCUAACUCCGUG
rnacentral:rRNA from 1 species